AUUGAACGCUGGCGGCAUGCUUUACACAUGCAAGUCGAACGGCAGCGCGGGCUUCGGCCUGGCGGCGAGUGGCGAACGGGUGUGUAAUGCAUCGGAACGUGCCCAGUAGUGGGGGAUAGCCCGGCGAAAGCCGGAUUAAUACCGCAUACGACCUGAGGGUGAAAGCGGGGGACCGAAAGGCCUCGCGCCAUCGGACCGGCCGAUGUCGGAUUAGCUAGUUGGUGGGGUAAAGGCUUACCAAGGCGACGAUCCGUAGCUGGUCUGAGAGGACGACCAGCCACACUGGGACUGAGACACGGCCCAGACUCCUACGGGAGGCAGCAGUGGGGAAUUUUGGACAAUGGGGGCAACCCUGAUCCAGCCAUGCCGCGUGCGGGAAGAAGGCCUUCGGGUUGUAAACCGCUUUUGUUCGGGAAGAAAUCCUCUGGGCUAAUACCCCGGGGGGAUGACGGUACCGGAAGAAUAAGCACCGGCUAACUACGUG
rnacentral:rRNA from 1 species